AUUAAAACACCUGUUCCCAUACAAUCACUGAAGUUAAGCAACAUUGAGCUUGGUCAGUAUCUAGAUAGGUGACCUCUCGAGAAUACCAGGUACUGUAA